rnacentral:lncRNA from 1 species
UAACACCUCAUAAUCGUGUAAGAGAUUUUCUAAUUUGUUAGUGACAACGACUUUGAAAAUUUCCAAAUUUGUCAUAUAUAGUCAAUUAACCCUAGCUACAUAAUUGGUUACGUGCAUUAGAAAACCCAUGAAUAAUUUUCCUUUUUAAGCUACAUUUUCUCCUAUAAAUAAAGAGCUUCUCCUCAUUUUAAAUCGCACCAGAAUUUAGAUUUAUACUAUUCUUUUCUCAUUUUCU